rnacentral:rRNA from 1 species
UACGGGGGGGGCAAGCGUUGUCCGGAAUUAUUGGGCGUAAAGGGCUCGUAGGCGGUCUGUCGCGUCGGGAGUGAAAACUUACAGCUUAACUGUGAGCGUGCUUUCGAUACGGGCAGACUUGAGGCAUUCAGGGGAGAACGGAAUUCCUGGUGUAGCGGUGAAAUGCGCAGAUAUCAGGAGGAACACCGGUGGCGAAGGCGGUUCUCUGGGAAUGUCCUGACGCUGAGGAGCGAAAGUGUGGGGAGCGAACAGG